AUUUAAAUAGUUUAUUAAAAAAUAUUGAUUUGUGGGAUCAAAGAUAUGAGAAUUCAUUUUAGAUA
rnacentral:tRNA from 1 species